rnacentral:rRNA from 1 species
CAGGAUGAACGCUAGCGACAGGCUAACACAUGCAAGUGAGGGCAGCAUAGAAGUGCAAUACUUCGGUGGCGACCGGCGCACGGGUGAGUAACGCGUAUGCAACCUACCUAUCAGGAGGGGAAUAACCCGGCGAAAGUCGGACUAAUACCGCAUAAAACAGGGGCACCGCAUGGUGAUAUUUGUUAAAGAAAUUCGCUGAUAGAUGGGCAUGCGUUCCAUUAGGUAGUUGGUGAGGUAACGGCUCACCAAGCCGACGAUGGAUAGGGGAACUGAGAGGUUGGUCCCCCACACUGGUACUGAGACACGGACCAGACUCCUACGGGAGGCAGCAGUGAGGAAUAUUGGUCAAUGGGCGGGAGCCUGAACCAGCCAAGUCGCGUGAAGGAAGAAGGAUCUAUGGUUCGUAAACUUCUUUUGCAGGGGAAUAAAGUGCAGGACGUGUCCUGUUUUGUAUGUACCCUGAGAAUAAGGAUCGGCUAACUCCGUGCCAGCCGCCGC